AGUUUGAAUAUAUUCCCGAGCUGGUAUCGCUGAAUGCUAUAUAUGCGCAACAGUUGUGGAACUGGGCCUUCCUAACCAAAGCUCUGCCCUCUUUGCCUCUCAAUCUGUCUUUCUCUCACUGGUAUGUAUGAUGUGAUCGCUCUCGCAUCGCCUGCCUAAUAUACUUUGAGGGGGUAGUUUUAUGGGGGUAGAAGUGCAAGUGCCAGUUGCGCCGUUGCCAGAGAGUUCAGUCAGAAUCGAGCACAGCAGUUCGCCAGUUCGGUCGAAAUAUUCAUUGCUUGUGUUGGCUGCUGCACGCGGUACAAAACAGAGAGGACACACACAUCGCUUUUAUCGCACAACACCGAGAGUUUAGUUUGUCUGCCUAGUUACUGUCGGCCCUUGGUUGGACCGCACGACCUCAUCAAAGGAGCAGUAAGCGAGAAGAUCGAGAGCUCCACAUCUCUACCAUCAAAUCAUAUGAUCAUCAUGUUGGCGACCAGGCCAGGCCAGCAACCCGAAAAUCGCAUCAAAGCCAUGCCAGUCAGUCGGGCAAAUGUUUGACAUUUGGUUUAUGGUUUUUGGUGUGUUUUCAACAUUAUUUUGAAUAAAUUCAUUUAUAAAAAAAAUAGUAUUUUUGUUGUGCUACGUUUGUGGUAUUUG